ACGGAAGGCAGCAGUGAGGAAUAUUGGUCAAUGGGCGCAAGCCUGAACCAGCCAUGCCGCGUGCAGGAAUAAGGCCCUAUGGGUCGUAAACUGCUUUUGCUGGGGAGCAAUAAGGUCUACGUGUAGGCUGAUGAGAGUACCCAGCGAAUAAGCAUCGGCUAACUCCGUGCCAGCAGCCGCGGUAAUACGGAGGAUGCAAGCGUUAUCCGGAUUUAUUGGGUUUAAAGGGUGCGUAGGCUGUUGUUCAAGUCAGAGGUGAAAGCCCGGGGCUCAACUCCGGAACUGCCUUUGAUACUGGGCGGCUUGAAUCCUGUUGCCGUGGGAGGAAUGAGUAGUGUAGCGGUGAAAUGCAUAGAUAUUACUCAGAACACCGAUUGCGAAGGCAUCUCACGAAUCCGUCAUUGACGCUGAGGCACGAAAGCGUGGGGAUCAAACAGGAUUAGAUACCCUGGUA
rnacentral:rRNA from 1 species